GAUGAACGCUAGCGGCAGGCUUAAUACAUGCAAGUCGAGGGGCAGCACAGGUAGCAAUACUGGGUGGCGACCGGCAAACGGGUGCGGAACACGUACACAACUUACCUUAGAGUGGGGGAUAGCCCAGGGAAACUUGGAUUAAUACCCCAUAAAACAGGGGGCCCGCAUGGGCAUAUUGUUAAAGAUUUAUCGCUUUAAGAUGGGUUGGCGUAUGAUUAGGUAGUUGGUAGGGUAAAGGCCUACCAAGCCGACGAUAAUUAACUGGUGUGAGAGCCCGACCAGUCACACGGGCACUGAGACACGGGCCCGACUCCUACGGGAGGCAGCAGUAAGGAAUAUUGGUCAAUGGACGGAAGUCUGAACCAGCCAUGCCGCGUGAAGGAUGAAGGUCCUCUGGAUUGUAAACUUCUUUUAUAGGGGGCGAAAAGGGCCAUUCUUGGUCAACUGACGGUACCCUAUGAAUAAGCACCGGCUAACUCCGUGCCAGCCGCCGCCGUAAUAC
rnacentral:rRNA from 1 species